AUGGCUAUCUCGCCGUGAUUUGGUCGAAAAACACCUCGAAAGUGGCGGAGAUCGUCGGAAACUGUGACCCAGGCCAAAUAGGCCGGGAAGAGCUUCAAUUUUGUUAAAACCCGUCGGUAACCCUAUACUUGGGUGAACUUCGAUUCUUUUUCCUCGGUGCUCUAACGUGGUCAAGGCUGGUCGUGAUUUUCUCCUGGGAUGAUGGGCUACAAAGCCCAAGUGGUGUUGUCGGCCAUUGCUUUGCUGAUUCGCCGGAAAAAUGAAAAGGGUGGCCGGAACACCAUUGGUUUUCAUUGGUUUUUGUGGCCUCGAACCGCCACGUACAGGGGUUAACCAAGGUGGUUCUUGGGUGGGUUUUGUAGAGGGGAAUGAGAGUUUCAAGAUGGUGGUGAUGGCUUUGAAAAAAUCCGCCGGAGUUGGCCGGAAUUAGCCCUGGAAAAUGGGUGGUCGUGAGCAGAAAAACCCACGGGAAAGCUCCAGCUUUCCCUUUUUUUUUUUUUUUUCUUUUUUUGAUUGGCUGGAGGCUUUGUCCUCCUUUUAUGUAAUUGGUUCCCUUUUCUCUUUGCUUAAAGGCUGAUUGGUUAGUCUUCCCACAAGGUGGGAGUUCAAAUAAUUUAACUACCUUUAAAUAACUAACUUAAAACGUCCGUAACUAUACCAUUAUAAUUCGGACUCGCAAAUGGCUUUCGCCUAUGCGUUCGUAGUGACGAGUACUACGAGGAAAUGCUAAAAGAAUAAGUCAUACAUCACUCUAACCGAUGAUCCACGAAAGUCAAAGUCCUUGCCUCUAGGGAAUUUUUGUAAAUUCACACUUCUAAAAUUAAUAAAAACGUAAAAUUUGGGACAGGCUGUCACAAUCUACCCACCUUAAAGAAUUUCGUCCCCGAAAUUUAAAAUCAUUGCUAUACCACGCUCGAAGAUAGGAGUAUAAGACAUAUAUACGUAAAGCAGAAUUCAAAAUAGAACGUUUGUGCAAAAGUGAAAAUGACAUCCCGACGUGGUCAGAACGUAAUUAUUCCUCUUUCAUGUUUCCAAGCUCAUACUAUCUUCCUUCCUCUUUAAAUUGUUUCAAGAUGUAAUCAUGGUUCAAAUAAAUUAGUGAGCUGCACAUCCAGAGUAUUAUUGACACUUCGCCAACCAAGAAAGAGAAAUUCACAUUUUACAACCCUAAUGGUCAACGAAAUUAAUUCUUACCAACCACAUAGCUAAACGAACAUUUUUGUCAUCAGUUUUAUUUGCAACAUCACUUUCCAACAAUGACCACUCAUGACCCAUGGCAACCAAAACAACAUAUUAAUGAUUAUACCCUUUUUCCAUAACUCAUUUCCAUAAUCAUAAAAUUUCACGUCUCACACACUGAAAGUUUGCUUCUAUUAAACGAACCCAAAAUUUCGUUUCAUAAUCUUUAUUCAUAUCCACCAAUAAUAAAUGGAGAAAACUUCGUGGUCUACCCACGAUUUUAAAUUAUAAUAACCAAAUCAUAACCUCAGUUUAGGAUUCCAUUCUCACUCGAUAAAAUCUCAUUCAUACUAUUUGGAAAGUACAUUGUAAUUAUUGGUAAAGCCACUUCCCAUUACUUUUAGCCACACGAAUACCAGAAAUUAUGGUCAUAACGAUAUUGGCACAAUCAAAUAUCAGAUUUCAAGCCGUGACUAUCGUGGUUAACAAAAUACUAGAAUUUCACGCCAUAAUUCAUUGAUGGCAAACCAAAUCAAUCAAUUUUAUAUUCGUAAACUUUUCUUGUCAAUUAUCCUCAUCAAGUGCAAAAACUCACGAGAAAACGUUUAUAUUAAGUAAAUUCAAGAUCUCAUUCCAUAUUUUCAUUCAAUAAAUUGUAAUGACUUUAAUGAACACCAAAUUUCCAACCACAAUUAUCAUUUGCCAACACAUUUUAUAUUUCUAGCCUCACCUAUCAUUGUCAACACCAUGAUUCCAUCACUAUUUCUUAAUAGGUUAAAGAUAACUCCAAAUCGAUACUCGUAUAAAUAAAACAAUGUAGUAAGAAAUAUUUGCACGACACAAAUCAAAGCUCAAACGAAAAUGGAUCUCGCCAAACAUUCGUCAUGUCAUGAAUUCCGCUAAUGAGUUCAAACCAUAGCUAGCUCGCAAAUCUUGUCGAAAAAUGAGCGGUCUUGCCCACUUGUUUAGUGAAUCUAGCAAUUCGACCAUUGACAUUUAAACCUGCAGCCCGUAAUACCGAUAACUUAUCGUCAUCUCAACAACUAGUGAGAGGUCCCCGAGGAUACCAAAAUAUCAAUUUGUU
rnacentral:lncRNA from 1 species